AACCGACAUAGGCUCUUUGUAGCCAAGGAG
rnacentral:piRNA from 1 species